UUUUUUUUUUUUUUUGUCUUUUUGCCAUUUCUUGGGGCCACUUCCGCGGCAUAUGGAGGUUCCCAGGCUAGGGGUCCAAUCGGAGCUGUAGCCGCCGGCCUACACCACAGCCACAGCAACGUGGGAUCUGAAUCGCGUCUGCAACCUACACCACAGCUCACAGAAGCGCUGGAUCCUUAACCCUCGGAGCAUGGCCAGGGAUUGAACCCGCAACCUCAUGGUUCCAAGUCGGAUUUGUGAACCACUGCACCAUGACAGGAACUCCUGAAAUGUAUUUUUAAAAACCAACACGCGAGAGGACAGUGUGCCCGCCCAGGAGAUAAGGCUGCUGCAGGGACAAGAGGAGAAACAAUAGUGAACGGGUCUUGCUCCUCGAUCACGUGUUUGUGUUCAAACCCCAUUUUCCCUCCCGUCUUCGCGAGAGUGGCGCCCCAACAGCCGUGCAUGCCGCUGUUGUCCCCAGGACCAGCCUCGCAUCCCUCAGGGGCAGAGAUAGGCGCUGGCUCUGCCUCAGACGCAGCUGCCGAAGCCCCAAGACAGUGGGGCCUCUGGGAAGCUCCCUCUGUCCCAUCAGGCUGGCCAAGUUCAGGACUAGCAGGAGGCAGGGCUGCAGGGCGAGAAGGAGCAUCCACUCCCCAGCAUUUCUCAACCAGGAGGGACGAGGCCGACAGCAGGUGGCUCUGAAGGAUCAGAGAAACAAAGUUUCAAAGUAUAUGCAAGCACUGCAGGAAGUGACAGUGUUAAUGAGGGCCCCCAAGUGGUGUGGGCACACUCGUGUGUGUGCGUGUUUGCACACGUGUGUGAGGAUGUGUGUGUGCCCUGGUGUACAUAUGUGCACUGCUGCCGUCCAUGUGGGCGCGUGUCCACGGGUGCGUGUGUGCCGGUGCUGGUGAGCACACAUCUGUGUGGGCACGCCCGAGCACCUGCAUGCCGGUGUUCACUAGCAUGCACAUACAUACACACACAUGCCCCGUGUUGGCGGGGGCUGAGGCCGUGAGAGCCCAGCUCUGCGGGGCAGCCCUACAGCGCCCUCCUCAUAAGGACUCUUAGAGGACCAACAGCAGGCAAGGCAGUUGGUUCAGAAUCAAAUUAUAGCCAAAUCACCCACUUGAGUUCACGCUGGCUCAGGUGCCAUGGCCCCUUUCCCGCACGUGGGCACGGCCUGCCGCACAAGCCCUCAGAUGUGGUCGGGAGAGGAGGGCUGACACCGAGGUGCAGAGGUGACACACGCACCUCCAGCCUCGGGGUUCUCUGCUCUUGGGAAAUGCAGGCUCCCACUCAGAACCAGGUGCACUGGGAGGGGACCUGGGGGUGACUUUCCCAGCAGGGGAAAGACAAGAGCCUGAGAAAGAGAGGCAGCCGGUCCAGGGGCAGAGAGUCCCUGAGGGCAGAGCUUGGCUAGGAGACCCGCAUCCUGUCUUCUGUCCCACAGAAGCUGGUGCUCAGCUGAGCCCGAAGCAGGCAGGUGCAGCCUCCUGGGUCCAGAAGAUGCUCCUUGUCCCCAGGCGCCAGCACCAGACGCGUGGGAGCAUCGAGGCUCAGCUCAAGGCUCGGGGCCAAGGCAGGACGAGCAGCCAGCCCCAGGAGUGGUCCCCGGGAGGCAGGCGUUGAGCAAGGUGGCAGAGGGCACAUGUGCCCUGCCCCCUGGGGGGGUGUCCUUAUCCUGAAGCCCCAGCUGAGGUCUCAGGAUGAGCGGGGUGAACAGGAGCUAUGGGCGCCUGGAGGGAGCUCGUCUCAGGCAACGUCAAGGUUAAAAGUCAGAUCAUUGUGCCGCCUGAAGGCUUUUCCUAUUUCCCUCCCAGGUUCCCAGAGAAGAAAUGAUUUCUCGAAUGAAGCGGGGGGGUAGGGCUGGCAGGGGUCCUGCUGGGGUCUGUUCUGUGGAUCCCUGAGCCCCUCCAUCCUCCUGGGGAUCCCUGAGCGCCCCCAUCCUGCUCCAGCUGCCUUUACAAAGAGCAUCUCAGAUUCCCAAGCCACAUACUCUCCAGCCGGAUGAUGAGUUUCCCAAAGAACUGUCAUCACACCACGUGACCUCCAGAAACUGACCCCACACCUAAGGACGAUCGAAAGUGGAGACAGGCGUCUACCCUCAGCCACCGGGCUGUGAUCCCUGCCAUCUCAGCUGCUGUGCCGGCCGCGCAGGGGAGGAGCCCCAGCCAUCAGCCCAGGAGGACGGAGUGCACAGAGCAGGUAGUGUGGGCUGUCGAGGGGGCCCCAGGGAGAAACACGAGACGUGUUUCUAGUCCAGAAAGUACUAGAACGUGCCCUUUAGGAGAGCACGUGGUCCCCAUGAUGUUUCUUUUCAAACCAGCCUACGAAACUUUACUACACGCCUACACACCUCCUCCAGGCUUCCCAGGGCAGGCCUCCCGCUGCCGCUAAGAGAUGAGGAAACGCCGUUUGCCACGGUAAGUACAGUGAAUUGAGGGCCACAGCCUGGCCUUGUCCGAUCACUCAGCUUGGCCCCCAGAGACAGAGCAGCACACAGCCACCAGCAGCAGAAGCCGAAACUCAUUCCCUAAGUGUGCCAAAACCAGGUGCAACCCACUCAGGACUGGCCUGUGAGAAUUAACUGCAAACAGGGUGUUUCAGAAAGGGACCCGGUGUUCCAGGGAGACAAGAUGUUCCGGGGAGGGACCGGGUGUUCCAGCGAGAGACCAGGUGUUCCAGGGAGGAACCAGAUGUUCCAGGGAGGGACCAGGUGUUCCAGGGGGAGACCAGGUGUUCCAGGGAGAGACCAGGUUGUUUCAGGGAGAGACCAGGUGUGCCAGGGAGGAACCAGAUGUUCCACGGAGGGACCAAGUGUUUCAGGGAGAGCCCAGGUGUUCCAGGGAGAGACCAGGUGUGCCAGGGACGGCCCAGGUGUUCCAGGGAGGGACCAAGUGUUUCAGGGAGAGCCCAGGUGUUCCAGGGAGAGACCAGGUGUUCCAGGGAGAGACCAGGUGUUCCAGGGAGAGACCAGGUGUUCCAGGGACGGACCAGGUGUUUCAGGGAGAGACCAGGUGUUCCAGGGAGAGACCAGGUGUUCCAGGGAGGGACCAGGUGUUCCAGGGAGAGACCAGGUGUUCCAGGGGGAGACCAGGUGUUCCAGGGAGAGACCAGGUGUUCCAGGGAGGGACCAGGUGUUCCAGGGAGGGACCAGAUGUUCCAGGGAGGACCAGGUGUUCCAGAGGGACCAGGUGUUCUAGGGAGGGACCAGAUGUUCCAGGGAGGACCAGGUGUUUCAUGGAGGGACCAGGUGUUCCAGGGAGGGACUGGUUGUUCCGGGGAGAAACCAGGUGUUGGGGUUUGUUCGGGGGGUGUUCCACAGGAAGAUGUUCCAAGGAGGGACUGAGUUGGACUGAGGAAGGAUUCGCAUGAGGUUCUGGGCCCUAAAUGUCCUUCCUUCCUUUCCCCAUCCUAUUGGUGGUCAAGGGGAACCUUGAGGCCAGCCCCCGCGCAGCACAACGCUUCUGGUCUGUCAGCAGAGUCCACCUGCGCUGCCAUCAGCAGCAUCACCCCUGCUGUUCUAAGGAAAGAACCAGAAUAUAUCCUCAAUCCCUGGAGAAUGGCUGUUUUCAGGCAUUUGACCCAGUGCCAGAGAUAAGCAACGUGAAAAACUUUGUAAUAAUUCCCACUGGAAAAAAAAAUAAGUGCCUAUGAUCUGUGUAAUAGCUCCAUAAGUUGGAAACAGAGUAUCAAAAUCAAUAAUACUUAACCCUUGGAUAUAUUUAUAUUUAUAAAAUGGUUUAAAAUAUUUUACUUGGCAUUGUCAUUUGAGCUUCAGCACAGCCCUGAUUGAGCCUCCACAUUUACCAGACGAAGAAAUGUUUCCUCGGAGAGGUUUCGUAGUGCCACUCCCGCGGCACACCCGCUGCUGGGAGACAGGUGGUUAUUGCAAAACGAAGCCUGCUGCUCACAUGCAUCCACCGAUCACACGCCUCGAUUCACCCGAAGGAGCUGAAAACUCACGUCCUCACAAAACCACACACACACCGCAGCUUCAUCCAUCAUCACAGCAACCUGGAAGCAACCAAGGUGUCCUUCAGUGGGUGAUGGACAUGCCAACGUGGUGCAUGCAGACAGCGGACUGUUAGCGCUAAAGAGAAACACGCCGAGCCAUGAAAAGACAGGCGGGAACGAAAAAACGUAACACCGAGUGAACAUCGUACUGAGAGAAGGAAUGCGAUCUGGAAAGGGCUACAGACGGUACGAUCCCACCCAGAUGACACUCUGGGAAAACAGUCAAACGAGCCGUGGUUGCCAGGGACUGGCAGGAGGGGAGGGCGGGUGGGCACAGGGCAUUUUUAGGGCAGCGAGACUCUUCUGCAGAAACCCAUAAUGGUGGACAUGGGACACUGCACAGCUGUCAAGACCCCAGAAUGUACGAAACAAGUUCGUCCUAACGUAAACCAUGUUGGUUGAUAAUCACGUAGCAACAUUGACUCAUCAUUUGCAAAAGCCGGAGGCUGAUCAUCGGGAAACCCUUCUGGAGGCAGAGGCGGGGGGACGAGUGGUUCUGCUCAGCCUUCCUGAGAAUCUAAAACUGCUGGUAAAAAUGAAAUCCAUUCAUUAAAAAACCUGUUUUCCUCUGUUUGGCCUCCUCCAUGAAGUGCUCUCUCUGUGUGUCCCAAAUGUCUCAAACUCCCUCCAAACUAAGUCGCCGUCCAACCCCGUGUGACUGGACCACUAGGCACACUGGACCGCCCCCCAGCCUGUUGUGACAGUCAGUGCUUGAGAAGGAACAGGGUGCUAGAACCGGGCUGGGACACUGGACCCCAAGUCUCACUGAGCCUGCCUUGCCAGCAGGAGCGCCCCUCUCUCUCCCGCUGAAGCACCUGUAAUCCCCCGGGGAAGCCUUGCAGCCCUGCGGACCCUCCCGGGACACAGCCCACCACUGCCCCGAGCAUCUCGCCCUAAGCAUCUCACCCCAGCAUCUCGCCCCAGCAUCUCGCCCGGCACCUGGACUGAAGGCCCAGAGGCUGGGGUUCAAAGCACGGCCAGGAGAGUGUGCAGAGCACGUGGAAGAACGGCAGGAGUUUGCCAGUUUGCAGCAGCAGAAACACAGAUGAGGAUGGGGCUUGCGGAGGCCGGAUCAGGUGGAAUGAACAGAGACUGGCUGAUUUCUGCUGUGGGCACCCAAGCGCAGGUUCCCCACCCAGCAGCUCAACAGUCUCCACCAACGGGCAACAUAUAAACACGGUCACCAGUGUGGAGUGGGGUCUACCUGACAUCAAGAGCAAAGGCCAGAACCUCCUCGUCACCUUCCAGAGGCACUUGUCAGAGGCUUAGAGAGAUGGGCACAACAGACCUUCCAGGGGCCCCAGCAGGGUCCAGAAGGCACGCGAAAAAAGUUCACGGGGUCCCAGCAUCCUUGUGGAAUGCGCGGUGACGCCCCGAAUGUCAGGAAUACAUCGGGACCUGCCUCCAUCCACCCGGAACCCCAGCAUGUAUCCAGAUGACAAGUCCUGGGGAGGCAGGGGCCAAGUGGGGACACGUAAGUGCCUUGUGGUCACCACACAGCAGUGAUCAGAAGAGAAGGCCCCCAGGGCACGAGCUGUAGGAAGGUCCCAGAGCUGCAGGCGGGUGCUCUGCCUGCAAGCACGGAUCUGCCCAAACAGGUCGCCCUCUGCCCAACACAAGUCUGACUGGACCAUGGGAACAGUCACAGCCCCCCACCAACUGCCAGUGGGAACUCCAUCUCACAGAUCAGCGCCCCUCGAAUGGGGGCGUGGCAGGCCGCUGUGAGAGACUCUGUCACAAAGCCACACGCUCGUCACUUCACCUUCCCCUGGUCUUAUAACAGGGCGGCCUGCGUGGGGGCAAAGGGCAUCUUCAGACCCCUCAGUGAUCACUGGACCCCGGCUCUCAAGGACACCAACAGAGACCCAGAUGUCACCAUGGUCCACCAGCCACACGGGGCUCAUGGGACAGGUGCUCCAGCCGUCCUGUGGGUGUCCCCCAGUUCUGGAAUGCAUAGCUGGAACGGGGCACAGCCAGUGCGGCCCCACCUGGUUCCCUGACCUGCAGCCUGAGGCUCUCACCAAUGCCACCGACACAGUCACAGACCAACUGCAACACCAGAUCCUGGGGGGACAGCAGAGGCUGACAGGUGCCACCAUCGAGGACUGGAAAGACCCGGGCUGAUCCCACAGCCCUCCCCGUCCUGUCUGCAGAGACGCUAGACAGGUGGCCGCCUGCUGCAGGUGCGGUUCCUCUGCUGGAGCAGGGGGCACACCCGGUACCAGCCCCACAGCUCUACCUGCAAAUGCUGCCCCACCAGGAGCGGCCAUCAGCGGCACAGCCCUCGUCCUGGUCUGCUGCUCAGGGACCUGAGGACACUGAGGACACUGUGCUGACUGGCCCUGGUGAGCAGGAGGAGCCAGGGCCCACACCCAUCGGAAAGACACGGCUCAGAGGGGCAGUGGCAGGCAGGGCACUGCUGGAGGCAGGGACCGGUGGGGGGGCGGGGGUCACAGGCCGAGCCUGUGGACUCUGGAAUAAACAGCUGAUGUUCUCUGCGGGAAACUCCUCCCCUUUUAAGGAACUGCUCCUGGCCUGUGACUACACCCUUGACCGUGGGCCACUGAGGAUCCAGGAAGCUGGACUGGAACA
rnacentral:lncRNA from 1 species